rnacentral:rRNA from 1 species
UACGGGGGGGGCAAGCGUUGUUCGGAAUUACUGGGCGUAAAGGGCUCGUAGGUGGCCAACUAAGUCACACGUGAAAUCCCUCGGCUUAACCGGGGAACUGCGUGUGAUACUGGAUGGCUUGAGUUUGGGAGAGGGAUGCGGAAUUCCAGGUGUAGCGGUGAAAUGCGUAGAUAUCUGGAGGAACACCGGUGGCGAAGGCGGCAUUCUGGACUGUAACUGACACUGAGGAACGAAAGCCAGGGGAGCAAACGGG